rnacentral:rRNA from 1 species
GAUGAACGCUGGCGGCGUGCCUAAUACAUGCAAGUCGAGCGAACAGACGAGGAGCUUGCUCCUCUGACGUUAGCGGCGGACGGGUGAGUAACACGUGGAUAACCUACCUAUAAGACUGGGAUAACUUCGGGAAACCGGAGCUAAUACCGGAUAAUAUAUUGAACCGCAUGGUUCAAUAGUGAAAGACGGUUUUGCUGUCACUUAUAGAUGGAUCCGCGCCGCAUUAGCUAGUUGGUAAGGUAACGGCUUACCAAAGCAACGAUGCGUAGCCGACCUGAGAGGGUAAUCGGCACACUGGGAAUUAGACACGGUGCCAACCCCCUAGGGGAGGAGGAGGUGGGGAAUUUUCAGAAAGGGGCGAAACCCGAACGGGCCAAAGCGGCGGGGGUAAGAAAGGUUUUCGGAUCGAAAACCUUUUUUUUUGGGGAAAAAAAAAUGUGUAAAAAACCUUGCUGUUCUGGCCGGACCCAAAUAAGAAACCCCGGGCUAACUACUU